rnacentral:lncRNA from 1 species
CAUGAAUCAGGAACAAGUUCUGUGGUUGAACACUCUAGUCAAUGCUACCUGUGCUGAGAACUGGACUCUACCAGCUCUGCUGAAGCUGGGAACAGAGGUUCACACUCAGCUGGCAACAGGUCUGGGAGCUGAAGGAGGAAUGAUCUUAGACUCGCAGUCAUUCAAAACCUUUACAGAGCUGGGCAGAGAGGAGCAAUGUUAAUAAAAGGUCAUCAACGUGAACGUCUACCAGGGCAGAAGCCAUGUGGUGGACAGUUCAUGAGCAAGCACUUGAUAUGCAAAAAAAGCCCACCCACAAGCUUCCAGAAACCUAUGAAUUUUAACAAAAGAUGUGGGGAUCAUCACUUCCUCUCUUUGGACUUGGGAAUUCAGCAGCCUGAGAAUAACCUGGAAACUGUGUCCAGAGAGAAAGAGAGGAUUCCAAUUGAAGAGACACCACAGGUAAGAUUAUAAGGUGUUUGGGGAUUGGAGGCAUGUUGAAAA